UUAUUAUGUUAUAAUAAGACUACAUUUGUUACAAUAAUGUUUAGUUUAAAAGUGGAUGCAAGCAUCCAACAGUGCACAGGUGUUAUGGAUAGAUGAAAAUGCAAUGAGGUACGAGACCCCACUACAUCCAAUUGCGUUAAGCAACUGUUAAAAUCUUUAAUGAUCCUUCCGCAGGUUCACCUACGGAAA
rnacentral:misc_RNA from 1 species